rnacentral:rRNA from 1 species
AUUGAACGCUGGCGGCAGGCUUAACACAUGCAAGUCGAGCGGGGUGAUGGUGCUUGCACUAUCACUUAGCGGCGGACGGGUGAGUAAUGCUUAGGAAUCUGCCUAUUAGUGGGGGACAACACCUCGAAAGGGAUGCUAAUACCGCAUACGUCCUACGGGAGAAAGCAGGGGAUCACUUGUGACCUUGCGCUAAUAGAUGAGCCUAAGUCGGAUUAGCUAGUUGGUGGGGUAAAGGCCUACCAAGGCGACGAUCUGUAGCGGGUCUGAGAGGAUGACCCGCCACACUGGGACGGAGAAACGGCCCAGACUCCUACGGGGGGCAGCGGUGGGGAAUAUGGGACAAGGGGGGGAACCCUGAUCCAGCCAUGCCGGGUGUGUGAAGAAGGCUUUAUGGUUGUAAAGCACUUUAAGCGAGGAGGGGGCUCUUUUGGUUAAUCCCCAAGAGGGGUGGACGUUACUCGCAGAAUAAGCACGGGCUAACUCUGUGCCAGCCGCCGCGGUAA